rnacentral:rRNA from 1 species
GACGUAGGGCGCGAGCGUUGUCCGGAUUUACUGGGCGUAAAGAGCGCGUAGGCGGAACGUUGAGUCCGGUUUGAAAGCCCCCGGCUCAACCGGGGAGAGUGGCUGGAAACUGGCGUUCUUGAGGGCGACAGAGGAGAGUGGAAUUCCUGGUGUAGCGGUGAAAUGCGUAGAUAUCAGGAGGAACACCGAUGGCGAAGGCAGCUCGCUGGGACGGUACUGACGCUGAGGCGCGAAAGCGUGGGGAGCAAACAGG